UAGGGAAUCUUCGGCAAUGGACGAAAGUCUGACCGAGCAACGCCGCGUGAGUGAAGAAGGUUUUCGGAUCGUAAAACUCUGUUGUUAGAGAAGAACAAGGACGUUAGUAACUGAACGUCCCCUGACGGUAUCUAACCAGAAAGCCACGGCUAACUACGUGCCAGCAGCCGCGGUAAUACGUAGGUGUCAAGCGUUGUCCGGAUUUAUUGGGCGUAAAGCGAGCGCAGGCGGUUUCUUAAGUCUGAUGUGAAAGCCCCCGGCUCAACCGGGGAGGGUCAUUGGAAACUGGGCGACUUGAGUGCAGAAGAGGAGGGUGGAAUUCCAUGUGUAGCGGUAAAAUGCGUAAAUAUAUGGGGAAACACCAGUGGCGAAGGCGGCUCACUGGUCUGUAACUGACGCUGAGGCUCGAAAGCGUGGGGAGCAAACAGG
rnacentral:rRNA from 1 species